rnacentral:rRNA from 1 species
AUGAACGCUAGCUACAGGCUUAACACAUGCAAGUCGAGGGGCAGCAUGGUCUUAGCUUGCUAAGGCCGAUGGCGACCGGCGCACGGGUGAGUAACACGUAUCCAACCUGCCGUCUACUCUUGGACAGCCUUCUGAAAGGAAGAUUAAUACGAGAUGGCAUCAUGAGUCCGCAUGUUCACAUGAUUAAAGGUAUUCCGGUAGACGAUGGGGAUGCGUUCCAUUAGAUAGUAGGCGGGGUAACGGCCCACCUAGUCUUCGAUGGAUAGGGGUUCUGAGAGGAAGGUCCCCCACAUUGGAACUGAGACACGGUCCAAACUCCUACGGGAGGCAGCAGUGAGGAAUAUUGGUCAAUGGGCGAGAGCCUGAACCAGCCAAGUAGCGUGAAGGAUGACUGCCCUAUGGGUUGUAAACUUCUUUUAUAAAGGAAUAAAGUCGGGUAUGGAUACCCGUUUGCAUGUACUUUAUGAAUAAGGAUCGGCUAACUCCGUGCCAGCAGCCGCGGUAAUACGGAGGAUCCGAGCGUUAUCCGGAUUUAUUGGGUUUAAAGGGAGCGUAGAUGGAUGUUUAAGUCAGUUGUGAAAGUUUGCGGCUCAACCGUAAAAUUGCAGUUGAUACUGGAUAUCUUGAGUGCAGUUGAGGCAGGCGGAAUUCGUGGUGUAGCGGUGAAAUGCUUAGAUAUCACGAAGAACUCCGAUUGCGAAGGCAGCCUGCUAAGCUGCAACUGACAUUGAGGCUCGAAAGUGUGGGUAUCAAACAGGAUUAGAUACCCUGGUAGUCCACACGGUAAACGAUGAAUACUCGCUGUUUGCGAUAUACUGCAAGCGGCCAAGCGAAAGCGUUAAGUAUUCCACCUGGGGAGUACGCCGGCAACGGUGAAACUCAAAGGAAUUGACGGGGGCCCGCACAAGCGGAGGAACAUGUGGUUUAAUUCGAUGAUACGCGAGGAACCUUACCCGGGCUUAAAUUGCAGAUGAAUUACGGUGAAAGCCGUAAGCCGCAAGGCAUCUGUGAAGGUGCUGCAUGGUUGUCGUCAGCUCGUGCCGUGAGGUGUCGGCUUAAGUGCCAUAACGAGCGCAACCCUUGUUGUCAGUUACUAACAGGUUCCGCUGAGGACUCUGACAAGACUGCCAUCGUAAGAUGUGAGGAAGGUGGGGAUGACGUCAAAUCAGCACGGCCCUUACGUCCGGGGCUACACACGUGUUACAAUGGGGGGUACAGAGGGCCGCUACCACGCGAGUGGAUGCCAAUCCCCAAAACCUCUCUCAGUUCGGACUGGAGUCUGCAACCCGACUCCACGAAGCUGGAUUCGCUAGUAAUCGCGCAUCAGCCACGGCGCGGUGAAUACGUUCCCGGGCCUUGUACACACCGCCCGUCAAGCCAUGGGAGCCGGGGGUACCUGAAGUGCGUAACCGCGAGGAGCGCCCUAGGGUAAAACUGGUGACUGGGGCU